rnacentral:rRNA from 1 species
CCUACGUGCGGCAGCAGUGGGGAAUAUUGCACAAUGGGGGAAACCCUGAUGCAGCAACGCCGCGUGAGUGAAGAAGUAUUUCGUUAUGUAAAGCUCUAUCAGCAGGGAAGAAGAUGACGGUACCUGAGUAAGAAGCCCCGGCUAACUACGUGCCAGCAGCCGCGGUAAUACGUAGGGGGCAAGCGUUAUCCGGAUUUACUGGGGGGAAAGGGAGCGUAGACGGGAGUGCAAGUCUGGAGUGAAAGCCCGGGGCUCAACCCCGGGACUGCUCUGGAAACUGUGCGGCUAGAGUGCAGGAGGGGUAGGCGGAAUGUCUAGUGUAGCGGUGAAAUGCGUAGAUAUUAGGAGGAACACCAGUGGCGAAGGCGGCCUGCUGGACAGUAACUGACGUUGAGGCUCGAAAGCGUGGGGAGCAAACAGGAUUAGAUACCCCUGUAGUC